rnacentral:rRNA from 1 species
CAGUCGCCACGGUAAUACGAAGGGUGCAAGCGUUAAUCGGAAUUACUGGGCGUAAAGCGUGCGUAGGCGGUUUGUUAAGUCUGUUGUGAAAUCCCCGGGCUCAACCUGGGGAUGGCAAUGGAUACUGGCAAGCUAGAGUGUGUCAGAGGAUGGUGGAAUUCCCGGUGUAGCGGUGAAAUGCGUAGAGAUCGGGAGGAACAUCAGUGGCGAAGGCGGCCAUCUGGGACAACACUGACGCUGAGGCACGAAAGCGUGGGGAGCAAACAGGAUUAGAUACCCCAGUAGUCCCUGUCUCUUAUAC